UAUUAAAAUUUUUAUCCAUUUGUACCAUUACAAACUGGCUUAAUUGACGGAAUAACCAGAAAUUGACACAUGGCAUGCCACGUGUGCCUCAUGUUGAUGUAUAGGGACCAAUUUUUAACGGUAUAAAUGGAUAGAAUUUUUAACA
rfam:Gossypium hirsutum cultivar TM-1 chromosome 17, whole genome shotgun sequence